rnacentral:rRNA from 1 species
UGGGGAAUUUUGGACAAUGGACGCAAGUCUGAUCCAGCCAUGCCGCGUGCGGGAAGAAGGCCUUCGGGUUGUAAACCGCUUUGGUCAGGGAAGAAACGAGUUUCUCUAAUACAGAGACUUAAUGACGGUACCUGAAGAAUAAGCACCGGCUAACUACGUGCCAGCAGCCGCGGUAAUACGUAGGGUGCAAGCGUUAAUCGGAAUUACUGGGCGUAAAGCGUGCGCAGGCGGUUAUGUAAGACAGAUGUGAAAUCCCCGGGCUCAACCUGGGACCUACAUUUGUGACUGCAUAGCUAGAGUACGGCAGAGGGGGAUGGAAUUCCGCGUGUAGCAGUGAAAUGCGUAGAUAUGCGGAGGAACACCGAUGGCGAAGGCAAUCCCCUGGGCCUGUACUGACGCUCAUGCACGAAAGCGUGGGGAGCAAACA